AGCGAACGCUGGCGGCAGGCCUAACACAUGCAAGUCGAACGAAGUCUUCGGACUUAGUGGCGGACGGGUGAGUAACACGUGGGAACGUGCCCUUUGGUACGGAAUAACUCAGGGAAACUUGAGCUAAUACCGUAUGUGCCCUUCGGGGGAAAGAUUUAUCGCCAUUGGAGCGGCCCGCGUCUGAUUAGCUAGUUGGUGAGGUAAAGGCUCACCAAUGCGACGAUCAGUAGCUGGUCUGAGAGGAUGAUCAGCCACAUUGGGACUGAGACACGGCCCAAACUCCUACGGGAGGCAGCAGUGGGGAAUCUUGCGCAAUGGGCGAAAGCCUGACGCAGCCAUGCCGCGUUAAUGAUGAAGGUCUUAGGAUUGUAAAAUUCUUUCACCGGGGACGAAACCGCAAGGUUGACGGUACCCGUAGAAGAAGCCCCGGCUAACUCCGUGCCAGCCGCCGCCGUAA
rnacentral:rRNA from 1 species